AUCAUUCCAUAUUUAAUAAUUCAAUAUUUCGUGUACUUUUUAGAAUAAAAAAAAUGAUGAAAGCAACGACAAAGUACUGUUCCCAUCCUACUGUUUGUGUAAUGUGUAGUAUAUUUAGAGUUGCUGAUCCAAAUUUCAAAACCAUUGUCACGAUAGUGGACAAUUGCUCGAAGCAUUACGAAUAUCCAAGUUACCUUCCUACGACCAAAGUUGUAGUGGAGGGGGUUACUGUUAGGGAAUUCAAUUAAACCAGAUGUUGUGAGGGUUCUCGGUCACUUUUGUAUACCACAGAUUCAUCCUCUUCAGAUGAUUGGACGUCAUCACCUGUUGUCAUCCCCCUGCUGAUAACAAUGUCAAUUGCCUUGGUUGUCAUCAUGCUUAUUAUCAAAAUCAUAUCAGUGGUCAGGUAGAAAAAAAGGCCUUCAACAUAUGAUCCUGGGAAACAAGAUAGACCAUGUAGUAUAAUCUUUG